GAGGGUAUAGCUCAGUGGUAGAGGGCAUGCUUAGAAUACAUGAGGUCCUGGGUUCAAUCCCCAGUACGUCG
rnacentral:tRNA from 1 species